UCUGAUUGUUGAUUCAUAUUGAUGAUGUUUGUGUCAUAUUGUGUGUGUUCAAUUUUUAAAACGCCAAAAUCAUCAAAUUUGCAUAAAUAACAUCACUUCUUGGACUUUUCUACUAGUGCUUGGCAAGCUGAUACACUUUUAAGUCCGCCCAGCAGGCCUGGCAAAAUUUCCGACUCGGGUAUCAACUCGCCACUUUCUCCUGGAUCGGUUUACAGCGUUUUUUUUUAUCCAGAAGUGAGAUUUAUCAGUUAUCCUUUGUGACCAGUGUUAAAGUCAAGGAACGAGGAAUGAGGCAAAAUCAUCUGGGGAAUGUUGCUAUUGAUGUGUAGACGAGAGGGUUGAGGUCAAGAACACCAAGAUCACUGACACGAUGUCCAAGCGCCAGGGUAAGCAACAACACAUCUACGAACAUCAUUUCGUGGCCAUCUGAACUUAACAAAACGCAUUAUCUGCAAUUAACAGUUAUCCCAAUCAGCUAGAACCGUUUUAAUCAAAUUUAGUGAAAAUGCAUACAUAAAAAUUAGAAUCUAGAUACUUGUCAUUUGUAACAAUAAACCAUUAUUUUAACCAAUAUGUUGAAAAUACGUUGUAAUAAAAUGGUCAAGUAAAAUAAA